AUACGUAGGUGGCGAGCGUUAUCCGGAAUUACUGGGUGUAAAGGGUGUGUAGGCGGGAAGGCAAGUCGGAUGUGAAAAUUAUGGGCUCAACCCAUAAAGUGCGACCGAAACUGUUUUUCUUGAGGAUCGGAGAGGUAAUGAGAAUUCCCGGUGUAGCGGUGAAAUGCGCAGAGAUCGGGAGGAAUACCGGUGGCGAAGGCGAAAUACUGGACGAUAACUGACGCUGAGACACGAAAGCGUGGGGAGCAAACAGGAUUAGAUACCCUGGUAGUCCACGCCCUAAACGAUGAAUGCGAGGUGUAGGGGAGUCAACUUCUGUGCCGCAGCUAACGCAAUAAGCAUUCCACCUGGGGAGUACGGCCGCAAGGUUGAAACUCAAAUGAAUUGGCGGGG
rnacentral:rRNA from 1 species